rnacentral:snRNA from 1 species
GUGCUCACUUUGGCAACACAUAUACUAAAAUUGGAAUGAUACAGAGAAGAUUAGCAUACCCCCUGUGCAAGGAUGAUACACAAAUUUGUGAAGUGUUCCAUACUUUC